rnacentral:rRNA from 1 species
AGCCGACCUUGAAAUACCACCCUUUAAUGUUUGAUGUUCUAACGUUGACCCGUAAUCCGGGUUGCGGACAGUGUCUGGUGGGUAGUUUGACUGGGGCGGUCUCCUCCUAAAGAGUAACGGAGGAGCACGAAGGUUGGCUAAUCCUGGUCGGACAUCAGGAGGUUAGUGCAAUGGCAUAAGCCAGCUUGACUGCGAGCGUGACGGCGCGAGCAGGUGCGAAAGCAGGUCAUAGUGAUCCGGUGGUUCUGAAUGGAAGGGCCAUCGCUCAACGGAUAAAAGGUACUCCGGGGAUAACAGGCUGAUACCGCCCAAGAGUUCAUAUCGACGGCGGUGUUUGGCACCUCGAUGUCGGCUCAUCACAUCCUGGGGCUGAAGUAGGUCCCAAGGGUAUGGCUGUUCGCCAUUUAAAGUGGUACGCGAGCUGGGUUUAGAACGUCGUGAGACAGUUCGGUCCCUAUCUGCCGUGGGCGCUGGAGAACUGAGGGGGGCUGCUCCUAGUACGAGAGGACCGGAGUGGACGCAUCACUGGUGUUCGGGUUGUCAUGCCAAUGGCACUGCCCGGUAGCUAAAUGCGGAAGAGAUAAGUGCUGAAAGCAUCUAAGCACGAAACUUGCCCCGAGAUGAGUUCUCCCUGACUCCUUGAGAGUCCUGAAGGAACGUUGAAGACGACGACGUUGAUAGGCCGGGUGUGUAAGCGCAGCGAUGCGUUGAGCUAACCGGUACUAAUGAACCGUGAGG